UCUAUAUAUUUCUCCUCUCUUCACCCCCAAACCCCCUCUCAAAGCCUCUGCCUAAUAAACAAUAUUAAUUGCUUCCCUUCCAUACGCCUCUCCUCUCCUCUCCUCUCCUUCUCCAUACUAAGACCCUUUCUUUGAGUGCAUGGCUUCUUUUGGUGCACCACAAGUUGCUGAAGCUGCCAGCAUGAUCUGAUCCCUUCUCUAUCCUCGGCUUCUUGAUUUCCCGGAGGAAGCCCAUCAGAUCAUCUGGCAGUUUCAUCUACUGAUGGGAGCAUGAAGAAACCCUAACCCUGAUGCCCACCUGCUCACUAGGAUUUCAUGAAGAACCCUAGGGGGAUAAACUUAAAGUGUUUUGGUGUGGAGGGCACGGCUUUGGGCUUGGGGAAUGGAGCUACACGACCUUCUAUGUAAGUUUUUGUUUUAUCAUCCUUUUGAGCUUUCUUUCGGCUAUCUUUGUCAUAUUUAUUAGCUUCUCGAUUGUAUUUCAAAUUUGGAGACUGUUAAUUUGAAGACAGGCUUGAACUCCACCUCAAGUAGCAAAUUGUAACCUUAUGUACAAUAUGGCAUAUAAUUACCUUGUACUAGGAGGGGAGAAUCCUCUCUCUUCUCUUCUGUUGUUGCUACUCUAUCUGUUGGUUAUGGACAAAUGCCUUCAUACAUGAG